rnacentral:rRNA from 1 species
AACGAACGCUGGCGGCAUGCCUAAUACAUGCAAGUCGAACGAGAUCUUCGGAUCUAGUGGCGCACGGGUGCGUAACGCGUGGGAAUCUGCCCUUGGGUUCGGAAUAACAGCGGGAAACUGCUGCUAAUACCGGAUGAUGACGUAAGUCCAAAGAUUUAUCGCCCAGGGAUGAGCCCGCGUAGGAUUAGGUAGUUGGUGGGGUAAAGGCGUACCAAGCCUACGAUCCUUAGCUGGUCUGAGAGGAUGAUCAGCCACACUGGGACUGAGACACGGCACAGACUCCUACGGGAGGCAGCAGUAGGGAAUAUUGGACAAUGGGGGCAACCCUGAUCCAGCAAUGCCGCGUGAGUGAUGAAGGCCUUAGGGUUGUAAAGCUCUUUUACCCGGGAUGAUAAUGACAGUACCGGGAGAAUAAGCCCCGGCUAACUCCGUGCCAGCCGCCGCGGUAA